UUGCCCCAGUAACGGCGAGUGAAGCGGCAACAGCUCAAAUUUGAAAUCUGGCCCCCAGGGCCCGAGUUGUAAUUUGCAGAGGAUGCUUUUGGCGCGGCGCCUUCCGAGUUCCCUGGAACGGGACGCCACAGAGGGUGAGAGCCCCGUCUGGUCGGACGCCAAGCCAGUGUAAAGCUCCUUCGACGAGUCGAGUAGUUUGGGAAUGCUGCUCUAAAUGGGAGGUAUAUGUCUUCUAAAGCUAAAUACCGGCCAGAGACCGAUAGCGCACAAGUAGAGUGAUCGAAAGAUGAAAAGCACUUUGAAAAGAGGGUUAAACAGUACGUGAAAUUGUUGAAAGGGAAGCGCUUGUGACCAGACUUGGGCCCGGUGAAUCAUCCAGCGUUCUCGCCGGUGCACUUCGCCGGGCUCAGGCCAGCAUCGGUUCGCCGCGGGGGACAAAGGCAUCGGGAACGUGGCUCCCCCGGGAGUGUUAUAGCCCGUUGCGCAAUGCCCUGCGGCGGACCGAGGUUCGCGCUCCGCAAGGAUGCUGGCGUAAUGGUCAUCAGCGACCCGU
rnacentral:rRNA from 1 species